rnacentral:misc_RNA from 1 species
GGUUUUGUUGUUUCUCCGGACAUGGCUGACGCGCUUUUCGUGGUUCCGUCCUCCGUUCUUCGUAAUCUCUCCGACAAGCUUUAUGAGAAGCGCAAGAAUGCUGCUCUCGAGGUUGAGGGUAUAGUGAAGCAGCUGGCGGCUGCUGGGGAUCAUGACAAGAUAUCUGCAGUGAUCAAUUUGUUGACGACGGAUUUCACCUACUCGCCUCAAGCCAACCACCGCAAGGGUGGAUUGAUAGGACUAGCUGCUGCAACUGUAGGGUUGACUACAGAAGCAGCCCAACAUCUUGAGCAAAUCGUGCCGCCUGUGCUUAAUUCUUUUUCUGACCAAGAUAGCAGAGUUCGUUAUUAUGCUUGUGAAGCCCUGUAUAACAUUGCAAAGGUGGUGAGAGGAGAUUUUAUUGUAUUCUUUAACCAAAUUUUUGAUGCCUUGUGUAAACUUUCGGCAGACUCAGAUGCCAAUGUACAAAGUGCUGCUCAUCUUUUGGAUCGGCUUGUAAAGGUGAAUAAUUGCACCCACCAGCAUUGAAGAAUUUAUACCGUUGUUGAGAGAACGUAUGAAUGUCCUUAACCCCUAUGUCCGCCAAUUUUUGGUUGGAUGGAUCACUGUGUUGGACAGUGUUCCAGAUAUAGAUAUGCUGGGUUUUCUUCCUGAUUUUCUUGAUGGUCUAUUUAAUAUGUUGAGUGAUUCUAGCCAUGAAAUCAGACAACAAGCUGAUUCUGCCCUUUCAGAGUUUCUCCAAGAGAUCAAGAAUUCCCCAUCUGUAGAUUAUGGUCGUAUGGCUGAGAUAUUGGUGCAAAGGGCAGCUUCUCCAGAUGAAUUUACUCGGUUAACAGCUAUCACAUGGAUAAAUGAAUUUGUAAAACUUGGUGGAGACCAACUAAUUCCUUACUAUGCUGAUAUACUGGGAGCCAUUCUGCCCUGUAUAUCAGACAAAGAAGAGAAAAUUAGAGUGGUUGCUCGCGAAACCAAUGAGGAGCUUCGUGCAAUCAAGGCUGAUCCUUGAUGUUGGAGCAAUACUCUCCAUUGCAAGAAGUCAAUUAUCUAGUGAGUGGGAGGCCACUCGGAUUGAAGCGUUGCACUGGAUAUCAACACUUUUAAACAGGCAUCGAUCUGAGGUAUUACAGUUUCUGAAUGAUGUAUUUGAUACCCUUCUCAAAGCACUUUCAGAUCCUUCAGAUGAGGUGGUCCUCCUUGUUCUUGAGGUUCAUGCAUGCAU